UCACUGCUUCCCGUACUGGUAAUUUUUCUUGAGACAAAUGCAAACCACUGCAUCCUGGAUGCUGCUGUUCCUGCAGAAGAAGAUAAGCCCCAGCCCAAUUAAGGAAGAACAUUAAGUACCAUAGAUUCACAGCUGGGGAUUUAUAUCUGCAUAGGGACUGAGGGUGAGUUGGAUCUGUGCUGCUGUUUCUACAGGUGAGGAUAGAUUUGGAUAACCCACUCCUUGGGGAAAACAGAGCUUGGAGGAAAAUGGGAUACAACUCAUGAUGAGAGCUGGCAGCACUGCACUGGCAGUACAGCCUGUCCUGCCUUCUUCGCCUUCACACAUCUUCUGAGAGUCAGAAAGUCUCAAAGGAGCUUGGGCCAUCCAGCUUUCUAGGGCUGCUCUCUCUUGCCCCAGCACUGCCCACCCCUGCUGGGCCAAACAGGCAUGGAAGAACAGAGGAGAGCAGCCAAUGGGACUCACUGGAGGUGGCUUUCAGCCCCGGGGCUCCCAUCUUCAUUAGGAAUCCUUUCUCAGGAGACUGGAGAUGCAGCAGCUGAUCACAGAUCACAGCAGUAACAGCCAGGGACUAAACUCUCUGAACCUCCAAAAUAAAAGCAAGAAACGGUACAUGGGAAAGAAGAAGGUGCCUUCCAAACAGGUUCCCUAAACCCCUGGUCCUGUUUGGCAGCCUCGACAGUCACCUGCCCUCUCAAGCACUUUGCAGGCAUUUCCUGCUGGAGGAAACAGCAUGUGCUCAUCACUGAAAGAGCAGCUGAAAUUUUUAUCUUUUUUUGUGAGCAUUAGGGAGUGUUCCCUCCUCUCUCAGCUCAAACAACGGAGUUAUCCCACUUCUUUAUUUCUCACAGUCCCUGUGGGCAAGCCCUGCUGUCCCAGCAGCACAGCCCCCACAGCCCCCUAAACCCCAAAGCCCAUGGGCCAGUGAGCAUGCAAAGCACCCAAGCUCCUGGGAGCAGGAUGGUUUCUGACGUUACAGCAGCAAAAGAUGGUUUUAAUAAUCUAAGAGCUCUGACUUGGCUCUUUUGGCCCAUCUUUGCCCCAGAGCUGCUUGUCAGGCUCUGCCUGAAGUUGCUGCUUUUCUUUGGCAUGGCACCUUCUGAAAAUGUCAUGGAAAACAGUUCUGGACUGCAUCAGACUACCUCUCCUUCUAGCUGGGUUAAGCCUCAUGUGUAAGGUUUUCCCAGCUACAAAUCUUAACUGAGCUCCUUAGCAGAGCAUUAAAACCCAUGCUGAAAUCAAAGUGGUAUCCUUAAUUCAUUCCUCUUGUGGCCACAAUAAGCUCUUGAGCCCUGUCUUGUUCUGUGACUGACACAACAGGACCCUGGCUGAAAACUGGGGAUCCGCUGAGUCCAAUAAAAAUAAUACAUAAAAAUUUCUCUUUAUAUCAGGAACAAGAAAACACCAAACUCAUAUCCUUUGUAAUACACAACACAUGUGAAAAUCAGCCUUGAGAGCACGAAAAAGCUUUCCUGAAUUGUGCUUUUCAAGUUGGAGUUGCUGCCUACCCCUCUUCUCACAGCAGGCAGGGGAACCUCAAAGGAGCAGGUGGUUUUCACAGAUGAGACAAGCUCCUGGUCAGUGCUUGUCAUCUGCCUGAAACAUGCCACUAAUCUUCACUGGGGUCUCUGCUCAGCUGUGCAAACACCAGGGCUUUUGAGGAUUAGGUUCAAAUUCACAUGAAGUUUUGUGGUUGUGUUUUAAAAAGAAAGAUGAAUCCAAAAAAACAAUAGCAUGGAUUACUUUCCGUUUGGAGAAACAGAUUGCAAGCUUUCCCUCCAUCUAGGGCUGGACUGACCUCAAAGUUAUACAUCUCCAGCAGCUCCCUUUUGUAGAUUUCAUGGAUCUUUAUUAGAUGGUGAAACAUUGCACCAUCCAUGGGUUAGAGAUGGGCUUAAAGGAUUUCUUAGGUUGUAGAGAAAGUAUUGGGGACAACCAGGAUCUGAAGUGACUCCUAGCUUUAGGAGGUCUACUUAUGAGGAAAGCUGUCUCCUGGUACUCAUGAAAAGAGAGUGGAAAGAGCUGGCAAGAAGCUUGUUAGAGAAACUAUUCUAUAUUUUCUAGUGACCAUCUAUUUAGCCCCACGAGGGGUAUAGAAGAAGCAAAGUGCAAGCACAAGCUAUAUAAAAAGGAGAGGAUUAAUCAAAUCUGGUGCCAGGGAUGAGUUUUGAGCAGAGAUUCAGAUUGCUGUCUUGUUUACCCUCUUGCAGUGAACCCCAGUCAUUCUGAAUUAAUUGGCUUGAAUCCCCUGCACUGGAAUUUUCUCCUUGCAGGACAGUGGGGGCUGUGACUGGCACCACGGGGAGUAAGUGGCUGGAAGACUAACGAUGUGCCAUGCUGAUACUUCCAUUUUACUACAUCCAAUUAAGCAAUAAAUGAUUCUGGUGGAAGUGUAGAGCACACAGAUUAUUAUGCAAAUCAGGUCUCUGUGCUACCAGCGGGCUCCAGCAUUGCCCUCAAUAGCACCCGUAGGAUAUUAGUGCAAAUGUCACCUUUCUCCUCUGUUAGUUAUUGCCUCCCAUCUCACCCAUCAUGCAGCUUCCCCGAGGUCUGAGCCAUGAUUUCUCAUAGAUUUGGGAGUGCAAAUGAAUUUUAAAGAGGAUUUUUAACAAAGCUUCUCUCACCUUCCACAAACAUUCUAACACAUCCAGAGCUGGUGGCCUGAGAGCCUGCUGCACUGGCAAAGCUACCUGAAGAAUUCACCUUGAGCCAAGCUACAGACUGCUCCAUGGGCAUGCUCCAGGCUAGAAGAGGCACCUACUUUUUGGGAGGUGAAGGACAGAGCUGCCUGAAAGCAAUAAGCUGAGAGCUCUAGUGGGAAUCAGGUUUUCCCACCAGCUAACUCACACCAUUAAAAAGUAGAAUGAGGGAGCAAUACUGAGAAUUUUGAAUCACUUGAGUUAUUGAAUCACCAAGUUAUUUUGUCCUCCCUACUCUCCUUAAAAGCAUCUCUCUUGCAGUGCAUCCCUAAAAUGCAAGUGAGACAAGGAGCCGAGCUGCUUGCCCCAUCACGAGCUGCUGUUAGCAGACAAAGGCUAUUGUUUGCUGCCACUCCCAUGGUGGCAGCAGCCCCCAGCACCAGCCCUCAGCUCUGGGCCCUUUUUGUACUCAGCAUGGCACAAACAAUUGCACAGUACCUUUCUGUACAAGGUUGCAAUUUAAAGAGAGAAAUACAUUUCUCAGCAUCUUCCCACAGGCGCCUGGGACACAGAAAUUCACAGGCUGGAUGGAGACACCCUAAAUCUGGGGGGAAAGAAGGAAGAAAUCAUCACCCAUCAUUAUAGCAUGUGGCCCAGACCAAGAACACAGUGAUCCCUCAGGUGGAAAAUCUAUCAUUCCAUGGGAUGUACUGGGCCACUCCAUUUGCUUUCCCCAUGUGUGGGGAAAACAUUGACUUUCAGCGCAAGGAGCUCUGCGGGGAACGGUGGGGAACGCGCCAUAUGGUGCAGGAGAAACAUCUGUGAAUCUCUGACGCUGCAGUUCUGCUUCACGGGCCCUGGCUGCAUUUCACACGUGUGCUAAGGAGAAAUUAAUAUGACACAAGCACUUUCCAGGAGCCUUGAUGUAUGAGAAACAGGAUGAAUUUGCUGGAGGAGGCUGUAAAAAAAUCAGAGCGCUGCAUUGCGCUAAACCAACUUCCCUAACAGAACUGCGUUGCCCAUAUUUGCUCCCUUUCCUGUUGAAUUGCAGGGUCUAUUUUCUAUUGCCAUCGUGCAGCGCUGAAAAUAAAUCUCGUGGCGAGCA